UACGUAGGUGGCAAGCGUUAUCCGGAAUUAUUGGGCGUAAAGCGCGCGCAGGCGGUUUCUUAAGUCUGAUGUGAAAGCCCACGGCUCAACCGUGGAGGGUCAUUGGAAACUGGGGAACUUGAGUGCAGAAGAGAAAAGCGGAAUUCCACGUGUAGCGGAUGAAAUGCGUAGAGAUGUGGAGGAACACCAGUGGCGAAGGCGGCUUUUUGGUCUGUAACUGACGCUGAGGCGCGAAAGCGUGGGGAGCAAACAGGG
rnacentral:rRNA from 1 species